rnacentral:rRNA from 1 species
ACACAAGCGGUGGAGCAUGUGGCUUAAUUCGAGGCUACGCGAAGAACCUUAUCCUGGACUGACAUGUUCGAAAGAGACAGCAGGUAGAAGACCGGAAACGGUAACGAACGGUAUCCAACCCGGAAGCUGUCACAGGUGCUGCAUGGCUGUCGUCAGCUCGUGUCGUGAGAUGUCGGGUUAAGUCCCAUAACGAGCGAAACCCUUACCUUUAGUUGCUACCGAAAGGGCACUCUAGAGGGACUGCCGGUGUUAAACCGGAGGAAGGUGGGGAUGACGUCAAGUCCUCAUGGCCUUUAUGUCCAGGGCUGCACACGUGCUACAAUGGCGUGAACAAAGUGACGCGACUUUGCGAAAAGAAGCAAAUCACAUAAAUCACGCCCCAGUUCAGAUCGAAGGCUGCAACUCGCCUUCGUGAAGCCGGAAUCGCUAGUAAUCGCGGGUCAGCAACACCGCGGUGAAUGUGUUCCUGAGCCUU